rnacentral:rRNA from 1 species
CGCGUAGGCGGUUUGCUCAGUCGGAUGUGAAAGCCCCGGGCUUAACCUGGGAACUGCAUUCGAUACUGGCAGACUGGAAUGCGGGAGAGGGAGGUAGAAUUCCAUGUGUAGCGGUGAAAUGCGUAGAUAUAUGGAGGAAUACCAGUGGCGAAGGCGGCCUCCUGGCCUGACAUUGACGCUGAGGUGCGAAAGCGUGGGGAGCAAACA